CAAGUCGAACGAACCUUUCGGGGUUAGUGGCGGACGGGUGAGUAACGCGUGAGAAUCUGCCCUCAGGAGGGGGAUAACGACUGGAAACGGUCGCUAAUACCCCAUAUGCCGAGAGGUGAAAUGAAUUUCGCCUGAGGAUGAGCUCGCGUCUGAUUAGCUAGUUGGUGGGGUAAAGGCCUACCAAGGCGACGAUCAGUAGCUGGUCUGAGAGGAUGAUCAGCCACACUGGGACUGAGACACGGCCCAGACUCCUACGGGAGGCAGCAGUGGGGAAUUUUCCGCAAUGGGCGAAAGCCUGACGGAGCAACGCCGCGUGAGGGAUGAAGGCCUCUGGGCUGUAAACCUCUUUUCUCAAGGAAGAAGAUCUGACGGUACUUGAGGAAUAAGCCACGGCUAAUUCCGUGCCAGCAGCCGCGGUAAUACGGGAGUGGCAAGCGUUAUCCGGAAUUAUUGGGCGUAAAGCGUCCGCAGGCGGCCUUGUAAGUCUGUCGUUAAAGCGUGGAGCUUAACUCCAUUUCAGCGGUGGAAACUACAAGGCUUGAGUGUGGUAGGGGCAGAGGGAAUUCCCGGUGUAGCGGUGAAAUGCGUAGAUAUCGGGAAGAACACCAGUGGCGAAGGCGCUCUGCUGGGUCAUAACUGACGCUCAUGGACGAAAGCCAGGGGAGCGAAAGGGAUUAGAUACCCCUGUAGUCCUGGCCGUAAACGAUGAACACUAGGCGUCGGGGGAAUCGACCCCCUCGGUGUCGUAGCCAACGCGUUAAGUGUUCCGCCUGGGGAGUACGCACGCAAGUGUGAAACUCAAAGGAAUUGACGG
rnacentral:rRNA from 1 species